rnacentral:rRNA from 1 species
UACGUAGGGUGCAAGCGUUUAAUCGGAAUUACUGGGCGUAAAGCGUGCGCAGGCGGUUAUGCAAGACAGAUGUGAAAUCCCCGGGCUCAACCUGGGAACUGCAUUUGUGACUGCAUAGCUGGAGUGCGGCAGAGGGGGAUGGAAUUCCGCGUGUAGCAGUGAAAUGCGUAGAUAUCUGGAGGAACACCGGUGGCGAAGGCGGCAUCCUGGACCAGUAUUGACGCUGAGGAGCGAAAGCCAGGGGAGCAAAGCGGG